rnacentral:rRNA from 2 species
AACGGGCAUAGCAAUAUGUCAGUGGCAAACGGGUGAGUAAUAUAUAGGAAUCUACCUAGCAGUAAGGAAUAACCCUGAGAAAUCAGAGCUAAUGCCAUAUAUUACCGGUUAGCAAUAACCGGGAAAGAUUUAUCGCUGUUAGAUGAGCCUGUAUCCCAUUAGCUAGUUGGUAGGGUAAUGGCCUACCAAGGCUAUGAUGGGUAGCUGGUCUGAGAGGAUGAUCAGCCACACUGGAACUGCGACACGGUCCAGACUCC